rnacentral:rRNA from 1 species
AUACGGAGGGUGCGAGCGUUAAUCGGAAUUACUGGGCGUAAAGCGCGCGUAGGCGGCCUGAUCAGUCGGAUGUGAAAGCCCUGGGCUCAACCUGGGAAUUGCAUUCGAAACUGUCAGGCUAGAGUAUGGGAGAGGGAAGUGGAAUUUCCGGUGUAGCGGUGAAAUGCGUAGAUAUCGGAAGGAACACCAGUGGCGAAGGCGACUUCCUGGCCCAAUACUGACGCUCAGGUGCGAAAGCGUGGGUAGCGAACAGGAUUAGAAACCCCGGUAGUCC